rnacentral:rRNA from 1 species
GAUGAACGCUGGCGGCGUGCCUAAUACAUGCAAGUCGAGCGAACGGACGAGAAGCUUGCUUUUCUGAUGUUAGCGGCGGACGGGUGAGUAACACGUGGAUAACCUACCUAUAAGACUGGGAUAACUUCGGGAAACCGGAGCUAAUACCGGAUAAUAUUUUGAACCGCAUGGUUCAAAAGUGAAAGACGGUCUUGCUGUCACUUAUAGAUGGAUCCGCGCUGCAUUAGCUAGUUGGUAAGGUAACGGCUUACCAAGGCAACGAUGCAUAGCCGACCUGAGAGGGGGGUCGGCGGCAUUAGAAGUGGGACGGGGUCCAUGCUCCUGAGGGAGGCAGCAGAAGGGAAUCUUCCGCAAUGGGCGAAAGCCUGGCGGAGCAACGCCUCGUGAGUGGUGAAGGUCUUCGGAUCGUAAAACUCUGUUAUUAGGGAAGAACAUAUGUGUAAGUAACUGUGCACAUCUUGACGGUACCUAGUCAGAAAGCCACGGCUAACUACGUG